rnacentral:tRNA from 1 species
UUUAAUAUGGCAGAUUUAAGUGCAAUGGAUUUAAAAUCCUUAAAUAAAGAUACCCUUUUAUUAAAAAUA